rnacentral:misc_RNA from 1 species
AGGCCUUUACUAGUCUACUGUGAACAACUUGGGAUAAUUUUGCUAUACAUGGAUAGGUUUUUCCAUCCAAGUUGUUGGGCUAGUAGAUUUGCACAUAAUGCUGCAAAAUAGUAUAUGUUGACUCAGAAGCAUAGCCAUAGCUAAUUGAAUUUUGUGGUGUGUUAAAUACUCUUUUUCUUAGUGGCAUGUUGUUGUGUGUUUGUGCUUUGCCUGUGUUUUAGGUUUUGCAUGUCCACAAUAGCUGCCUAUUAGAAAUGAUUCUAGCUUCAAUUAUGAUGCUUUUCAUAUUAACACUUGACUGGUUUAUUAUAAGAGGCUAAGAGCUUUUAGGUGGGCCAUAUGAUGGGCUCAUUUCAUCCAAGUUGUUGGGCUA